GGGGGUAUGGCUUAGUUGGUUUAAAGCGCUAGCUCGACAAGCUAGAGAUCACUGGUUCAAGUCCAGUUAUCCCCA
rnacentral:tRNA from 1 species